rfam:Schistosoma mattheei strain Denwood, Zambia genome assembly, scaffold: SMTD_scaffold0013070
AUCCAGCUCACGAGUCCCAAAUAGAACGGAAUUCGCGUCCUGGAU